AUUGAACGCUGGCGGCAGGCCUAACACAUGCAAGUCGAGCGGAGCGGCGGACGGGUGAGUAAUGCCUAGGAAUCUGCCUGGUAGUGGGGGAUAACGACCGGAAACGGGCGCUAAUACCGCAUACUAUCAGAUGAGCCUAGGUCGGAUUAGCUAGUUGGUGGGGUAAAGGCCUACCAAGGCGACGAUCCGUAACUGGUCUGUGAGGAUGAUCAGUCACACUGGAACUGAGACACGCGCCGGAUUCUUACGGGAGGCAGAAGUGGGGAAUAUUGGACAAUGGGCGAAAGCCUGAUCAAGCCCUGCAGCGUGUGUGAAGAAGUUCUUCGGUUUGUAAAGCACUUUAAGUUGGGAGGCGGUACCAACAGAAUAAGCACCGACUAACUUCGUGCCAGCAGCCGCGGUAAUUC
rnacentral:rRNA from 1 species